UACGUAGGGGGCUAGCGUUAUCCGGAUUUACUGGGCGUAAAGGGUGCGUAGGUGGUUUCUUAAGUCAGAAGUGAAAGGCUACGGCUUAACCGUAGUAAGCUUUUGAGACUGGGAAACUUGAGUGCAGGAGAGGAAAGUGGAAUUCCUAGUGUAGCGGUGAAAUGCGUAGAUAUUAGGAGGAACACCAGUAGCGAAGGCGGCUUUCUGGACUGUAACUGACACUGAGGCACGAAAGCGUGGGGAGCAAACAGGG
rnacentral:rRNA from 1 species